GACGAACGCUGGCGGCGUGCUUAACACAUGCAAGUCGAACGGAAAGGCCCUGCUUUUGUGGGGUGCUCGAGUGGCGAACGGGUGAGUAACACGUGAGUAACCUGCCCUUGACUUUGGGAUAACUUCAGGAAACUGGGGCUAAUACCGGAUAGGAGCUCCUGCUGCAUGUGGGUGGUUGGAAAGUUUCGGCGGUUGGGGAUGGACUCGCGGCUUAUCAGCUUGUUGGUGGGGUAGUGGCUUACCAAGGCUGUGACGGGUAGCCGGCCUGAGAGGGGGACCGGCCACAUUGGGACUGAGAUACGGCCCAGACUCCUACGGGAGGCAGCAGUGGGGAAUAUUGCACAAUGGGCGGAAGCCUGAGGCAGCAACGCCGCGUGCGGGAUGACGGCCUUCGGGUGGUAAACCGCUUUGGCCUGUGACGAAGCGUGAGUGACGGUAAUGGGUAAAGAAGCACCGGCUAACUACGUG
rnacentral:rRNA from 1 species